rnacentral:rRNA from 1 species
UACGUAGGUGGCAAGCGUUGUUCGGAAUGACUGGGCGUAAAGGGCGUGUAGGUGGACUGAUCAGUCGGGUGUGAAAUAUCCAGGCUCAACCUGGAGGGUGCAUCCGAUACGGUCAGUCUUGAGUGCAGGAGAGGGCAGUGGAAUUCCCAGUGUAGCGGUGAAAUGCGUAGAUAUUGGGAGGAACACCAGUGGCGAAGGCGGCUGCCUGGACUGUAACUGACACUGAGGCGCGAAAGCGUGGGGAGCAAACAGGAUUA